rnacentral:rRNA from 1 species
UACGGGGGGGGCAAGCGUUGUUCGGAAUUACUGGGCGUAAAGGGCUCGUAGGUGGCCAACUAAGUCAGACGUGAAAUCCCUCAGCUUAACUGGGGAACUGCGUCUGAUACUGGAUGGCUUGAGUUUGGGAGAGGGACGCGGAAUUCCAGGUGUAGCGGUGAAAUGCGUAGAUAUCUGGAGGAGCACCGGUGGCGAAGGCGGCGUCCUGGGCCAACACUGACACUGAUGAGCGAAAGCCAGGGGAGCAAACGGG